GGAAGAUCGCCAAAGUCAUGGUAA
rnacentral:misc_RNA from 1 species